rnacentral:tRNA from 1 species
AAUUAUAUAGUCAAUUAUGAUUCAAAAUUGCAAGUUUUGAGAUAGCUUUAAGCUUAUAGUUU